CCAAGUUUUUAAGGGCGCACGGUGGAUGCCUUGGCACCAGGAACCGAUGAAGGACGUGGGAGGCCACGAUAGUCCCCGGGGAGCCGUCAACCAGGCUUUGAUCCGGGGGUUUCCGAAUGGGGAAACCCGGCAGUCGUCAUGGGCUGUCACCCGCUGCUGAACACAUAGGCAGUGUGGAGGGAACGCGGGGAAGUGAAACAUCUCAGUACCCGCAGGAAGAGAAAACAACCGUGAUUCCGGGAGUAGUGGCGAGCGAAACCGGAUGAGGCCAAACCGUAUACGUGUGAGACCCGGCAGGGGUUGCGUGUGCGGGGUUGUGGGAUCUCUCUUUCACAGUCUGCCGGCUGUGAGGCGAGUCAGAAACCGUUGAUGUAGGCGAAGGACAUGCGAAAGGUCCGGCGUAGAGGGUAAGACCCCCGUAGUCGAAACAUCAGCGGCUCGUUUGAGAGACACCCAAGUAGCACGGGGCCCGAGAAAUCCCGUGUGAAUCUGGCGGGACCACCCGCUAAGCCUAAAUAUUCCCUGGUGACCGAUAGCGGAUAGUACCGUGAGGGAAUGGUGAAAAGUACCGCGGGAGCGGAGUGAAAUAGUACCUGAAACCGUGUGCCUACAAGCCGUGGGAGCGUCGGACAUCAAGCUUGCUUGGUGUCUCGUGACUGCGUGCCUUUUGAAGAAUGAGCCUGCGAGUUUGCGGUGUGUUGCGAGGUUAACCCGAGUGGGGAAGCCGUAGCGAAAGCGAGUCCGAAUAGGGCGUUUCAGUAGCACGCUCAAGACCCGAAGCGGAGUGAUCUAGCCAUGGGCAGGUUGAAGCGGAGGUAAGACUUCGUGGAGGACCGAACCCACCAGGGUUGAAAACCUGGGGGAUGACCUGUGGUUAGGGGUGAAAGGCCAAUCAAACUCCGUGAUAGCUGGUUCUCCCCGAAAUGCAUUUAGGUGCAGCGUCGUGUGUUUCUUGCCGGAGGUAGAGCACUGGAUAGGCGAUGGGCCCUACCGGGUUACUGACCUUAGCCAAACUCCGAAUGCCGGUAAGUGAGAGCGCGGCAGUGAGACUGUGGGGGAUAAGCUCCAUGGUCGAGAGGGAAACAGCCCAGAGCAUCGACUAAGGCCCCUAAGCGUACGCUAAGUGGGAAAGGAUGUGGAGUCGCACAGACAACCAGGAGGUUGGCUUAGAAGCAGCCACCCUUGAAAGAGUGCGUAAUAGCUCACUGGUCUAGUGAUUCCGCGCCGACAAUGUAGCGGGGCUCAAGCGUACCGCCGAAGUCGUGUCAUUCAUACAUUAGGGCCAACGCCUGUAUGGAUGGGUAGGGGAGCGUCGUGUGCCGGGUGAAGCAGCCGCGGAAGCGAGUUGUGGACGGUUCACGAGUGAGAAUGCAGGCAUGAGUAGCGAUACAAACGUGAGAAACGUUUGCGCCGAUUGACUAAGGGUUCCUGGGUCAAGCUGAUCUGCCCAGGGUAAGUCGGGACCUAAGGCGAGGCCGACAGGCGUAGUCGAUGGAUAACCGGUUGAUAUUCCGGUACCCGCUGUGAAGCGUCAAACAUCGAGCAUCGUGAUGCUAAGGCCGUGAAGCCGCCCUGAUCUCUUCGGAGUUGAGGGGAGUGGUGGAGCCGCCGGACCAAGCGGUUAGUAGGUGAGUGAUGGGGUGACGCAGGAAGGUAGUCCAUCCCGGGCGGUGGUUGUCCCGGGGUAAGGGUGUAGGCCGUGCGGUAGGUAAAUCCGUCGCACACAAGGCUGAGACCUGAUGCCGAGCCGAUUGUGGUGAAGUGGAUGAUCCUAUGCUGUCGAGAAAAGCCUCUAGCGAGUUUCAUGGCGGCCCGUACCCUAAACCGACUCAGGUGGUCAGGUAGAGAAUACCGAGGCGUUCGGGUGAACUAUGGUUAAGGAACUCGGCAAAAUGCCCCCGUAACUUCGGGAGAAGGGGGGCCACACCUGGUGAUGAUCUUUACGGUCUGAGCUGGGGGUGGCCGCAGAGACCAGCGAGAAGCGACUGUUUACUAAAAACACAGGUCCGUGCGAAGCCGUAAGGCGAUGUAUACGGACUGACGCCUGCCCGGUGCUGGAACGUUAAGGGGACCGGUUAGCUCCAUUUCGGUGGGGCGAAGCUGAGAACUUAAGCGCCAGUAAACGGCGGUGGUAACUAUAACCAUCCUAAGGUAGCGAAAUUCCUUGUCGGGUAAGUUCCGACCUGCACGAAUGGCGUAACGACUUCUCGACUGUCUCAACCAUAGGCCCGGUGAAAUUGCACUACGAGUAAAGAUGCUCGUUUCGCGCAGCAGGACGGAAAGACCCCGGGACCUUUACUACAGUUUGAUAUUGGUGUUCGGUUCGGCUUGUGUAGGAUAGCUGGGAGACUUUGAAGCUCGCACGCCAGUGUGGGUGGAGUCGUCGUUGAAAUACCAGUCUGGUCGUGCUGGAUGUCUAACCUGGGUCCGUGAUCCGGAUCAGGGACAGUGUCUGAUGGGUAGUUUAACUGGGGCGGUUGCCUCCUAAAGAGUAACGGAGGCGCCCAAAGGUUCCCUCAGCCUGGUUGGCAAUCAGGUGUUGAGUGUAAGUGCACAAGGGAGCUUGACUGUGAGACCGACGGGUCGAGCAGGGACGAAAGUCGGGACUAGUGAUCCGGCGGUGGCUUGUGGAAGCGCCGUCGCUCAACGGAUAAAAGGUACCCCGGGGAUAACAGGCUGAUCUUCCCCAAGAGUCCAUAUCGACGGGAUGGUUUGGCACCUCGAUGUCGGCUCGUCGCAUCCUGGGGCUGGAGUCGGUCCCAAGGGUUGGGCUGUUCGCCCAUUAAAGCGGUACGCGAGCUGGGUUUAGAACGUCGUGAGACAGUUCGGUCCCUAUCCGCUGUGCGCGUAGGAGUCUUGAGAAGGGCUGUCCCUAGUACGAGAGGACCGGGACGGACGAACCUCUGGUGUGCCAGUUGUCCUGCCAAGGGCAUGGCUGGUUGGCUACGUUCGGGAGGGAUAACCGCUGAAAGCAUCUAAGCGGGAAGCCUGCUUCGAGAUGAGGACUCCCACCCCCUUGAGGGGUUAAGGCUCCCAGUAGACGACUGGGUUGAUAGGCCGGAUCUGGAAGCACCGCAAGGUGUGGAGGUGACCGGUACUAAUAGGCCGAGGGCUUGUCCUC
rnacentral:rRNA from 1 species